AAGUACCAGCUCUAAAUCCAGGUCAAAAUAUUAUGCUGCCCCUACCUCAAUGCCUACACCAAGAAAAACAAAAAAAAGAGGUUGCAGAAUAGGUCCAGUUCCAGGAGGUCCAGUUCCAGGACCUGGUGAAAACUCGGACAAGGAACUCUCUGGCAAUGCUGAGGAGCCAUCAGAAGAGGCCAGUGAAGAUGGUGAUGGCAGUCAUGAAGCCACAUCAAGCACAAAAGCACAAGAGUCAGGGACACAGACUCUUUGGAAAAGGAAGGGGACUGAGGUUGUCAUUGCAACUGUUAGGACAAACAAUGGUAACUCAAUAAUUUGCCUGAGGCAUAAUGACCUCAUCUCACUAAGGCCACACAAUCUGCUUAAUGGUGAGGCAAUGGAGUUUUUCAUUCAAGCCACUCUUUCAAGGAUGGGGGGUGUGCGCCGACUGUAUGUGUUACAUCACUUCGUCAUUGGUGUAAUUUUGUUCGGAGAAACCUCACAAAUCUCAAGGCAAAGUUUAAAGACCGUGGACUUUGAUCAGUACGAUGGUGUGAUUGGAUUUGUUAAUGUAAACAACAACCACUGGAAGUUUGUGUACCUUCAUGCUCCAACAAGCCAAAUAUUCAUCAUUGAUCCUGCUGACCCUGGGAUUGAUCUGGAAGAGACCAGGAAAGCAGCAAAACGCUUCCGCAAAUACUUUAGGACAAGGUUUAAUCUAAACGGACAAAAGGAUUGGUUGACCUUGGCAUGGAAACCUGCCACCAUUUCCCACACAACACAGAGAGAUGGAACUAGCUGUGGAGUCUUUGUCAUGGAGAUGGCAAGACAAACAAUCCAUAGCUUUCCAGCAAUUCCAGAGGAACUCAACAUUGAUUCUCAAUGCAAAAACAUUGCACGUUUAAGAGAAGAUAUGGCAGAGGAGAUGCUUCUUGC